rnacentral:rRNA from 1 species
ACCCAGGGAAACUUGGGCUAAUACCGGAUACGUCCGAGAGGAGAAAGAUUUAUCGCUGAAGGAUCGGCCCGCGUCUGAUUAGCUAGUUGGUGAGGUAAAGGCUCACCAAGGCGACGAUCAGUAGCUGGUCUGAGAGGAUGAUCAGCCACACUGGGACUGAGACACGGCCCAGACUCCUACGGGAGGCAGCAGUGGGGAAUAUCGGACAAUGGGCGCAAGCCUGAUCCAGCCAUGCCGCGUGAGUGAUGAAGGCCUUAGGGUUGUAAAGCUCUUUCGGCGGGGACGAUAAUGACGGUACCCGCAGAAGAAGCCCCGGCUAACUUCGUGCCAGCAGCCGCGGUAAUACGAAGGGGGCUAGCGUUGUUCGGAAUCACUGGGCGUAAAGGGCGCGUAGGCGGCUUUGUAAGUCGGGGGUGAAAGCCUGUGGCUCAACCACAGAGUUGCCUUCGAUACUGCAUGGCUUGAGACCGGAAGAGGUUAGUGGAACUGCGAGUGUAGAGGUGAAAUUCGUAGAUAUUCGCAAGAACACCAGUGGCGAAGGCGGCUGACUGGUCCGGUUCUGACGCUGAG